rnacentral:rRNA from 1 species
UACGGAGGGUGGGAGCGUUAAUCGGAAUUACUGGGCGUAAAGCGUGCGCAGGCGGCUCUUCAAGUCAGAAGUGAAAGCCCCGGGCUUAACCUGGGAAUGGCGUUUGAAACUGGAGGGCUGGAGUGUGGCAGAGGGAGGUGGAAUUCCACGUGUAGCAGUGAAAUGCGUAGAGAUGUGGAGGAACACCGAUGGCGAAGGCAGCAUCCUGGGCCAACUCUGACGCUCAUGCACGAAAGCGUGGGGAGCAAACAGG